ACCUAAUAGAUACCCUGGUAGUCCACGCCCUAAACGAUGCGAACUGGAUGUUGGGUACAUUACGGUACUCAGUGUCGAAAGCUAAACGCGUUAAGUUCGCCGCCUGGGGAGUACGGUCGCAAGACUGAAACUCAAAGGAAUUGACGGGGGUCCCGCACAAGCGGUGGAGUAUGUGGUUUAAUUCGAUGCAACGCGAAGAACCUUACCUGGCCUUGACAUCUGUCGAAUCCUGCAGAGAUGCGGGAGUGCCGCAAGGAACGACAAGACAGGUGCUGCAUGGCUGUCGUCAGCUCGUGUCGUGAGAUGUUGGGUU
rnacentral:rRNA from 1 species